CACCGCGGUUAUACGAGAGACCCAAGUUGAUAGAUAGCGGCGUAAAGAGUGGUUAGGAGGGAUAACAAACUAAAGCUGAAUACUUUCAAAGCUGUUAUACGCUCAUGAAAGAAAGAAACCCAACUACGAAAGUGGCUUUACACAAUCUGAACCCACGAAAGCUGGGGCA
rnacentral:rRNA from 1 species